GAGAGAGAGAGAGAGAGAGAGUCCAUAUUGGUGAGAAAAGCAUGGUAGCAGUAGGUGGCCAAAGUAGGAAGCCAAGAGCUCAGGACAGCACAAAGGAAGCAGAGAGUGAACUGGAAGGGGGCGGGGCUAUAAACCCUCCAAGCCCACCUCCAGCCGCCCAUUCCCUCAGGAAAGCUGCACCUAUGAGGUUCUGUGGCCUCUUCAAACAGUACCGCCAACUGGGGGCCAAGUGUUCAAAUACCUGAGUCUGGAGGAUGCCAGCAUUUUCAUUUCAGACCAUAACCGUUCUAAUAGCGCUUUGCUUUCCCACAGGCAUGUGAAGCAGAGGUGCACUCUACAUCCAUGUUAGCUGAGUUUUGUGGAAACAUGACUGUCUUUCCUCUCAAAGAGCUUCCAUCUCCAUGGUGCUUUGACCUAGUUACAUAAGAUGGCCUGACCCAGGAGAACGCAGAGGGCUGAGAGAAUGACCACUUCCUCUUGUCCCCGAGCACCAGAGGGUUCUCUAUGAGGGAUGAAUAAUCUGAAUAGAUUUGGAAAGAUAA